rnacentral:rRNA from 1 species
UGCAGUCGAGCGGACAGAAGGGAGCUUGCUCCCGGAUGUUAGCGGCGGACGGGUGAGUAACACGUGGGUAACCUGCCUGUAAGACUGGGAUAACUCCGGGAAACCGGAGCUAAUACCGGAUAGUUCCUUGAACCGCAUGGUUCAAGGAUGAAAGACGGUUUCGGCUGUCACUUACAGAUGGACCCGCGGCGCAUUAGCUAGUUGGUGAGGUAACGGCUCACCAAGGCGACGAUGCGUAGCCGACCUGAGAGGGUGAUCGGCCACACUGGGACUGAGACACGGCCCAGACUCCUACGGGAGGCAGCAGUAGGGAAUCUUCCGCAAUGGACGAAAGUCUGACGGAGCAACGCCGCGUGAGUGAUGAAGGUUUUCGGAUCGUAAAGCUCUGUUGUUAGGGAAGAACAAGUGCAAGAGUAACUGCUUGCACCUUGACGGUACCUAACCAGAAAGCCACGGCUAACUACGUGCCAGCAGCCGCGGUAAUACGUAGGUGGCAAGCGUUGUCCGGAAUUAUUGGGCGUAAAGGGCUCGCAGGCGGUUUCUUAAGUCUGAUGUGAAAGCCCCCGGCUCAACCGGGGAGGGUCAUUGGAAACUGGGAAACUUGAGUGCAGAAGAGGAGAGUGGAAUUCCACGUGUAGCGGUGAAAUGCGUAGAGAUGUGGAGGAACACCAGUGGCGAAGGCGACUCUCUGGUCUGUAACUGACGCUGAGGAGCGAAAGCGUGGGGAGCGAACAGGAUUAGAUACCCUG